rnacentral:rRNA from 1 species
UACGUAGGGUGCAAGCGUUUGUCCGGAUUUAUUGGGCGUAAAGAGCUCGUAGGCGGCUUGUCGCGUCGACUGUGAAAACCCGAGGCUCAACUUCGGGCUUGCAGUCGAUACGGGCAGGCUUGAGUUCGGUAGGGGAGACUGGAAUUCCUGGUGUAGCGGUGAAAUGCGCAGAUAUCAGGAGGAACACCGAUGGCGAAGGCAGCCAUCUGGACCGACACUGACGCUGAGGCGCGAAAGCGUGGGGAGCAAACAGG